rnacentral:lncRNA from 1 species
AUGUAUGGAAAAAUAAUCUUUGUAUUACUAUUGUCAAAAUUGUGAGCAUAUCAGCAUUAAGUACCACUGAGGUGGCAAUGCACACUUCAACUUCUUCUUCAGUCACAAAGAGUUACAUCUCAUCACAGACAAAUAGAUAACACUCAUUAUUUUUGGGGUGAUGGCUGGUGUUAUUGGAACGAUCCUCUUAAUUUCUUACGGUAUUCGCCGACUGAUAAAAAAAGCCCAUCUGAUGUAAAACCUCUCCCCUCACCUGACACAGACGUGCCUUUAAGUUCUGUUGAAAUAGAAAAUCCAGGUUGGUGUUAAUA